AAAAGUUUCUGAGAAGGGAGAGAAAUGGAGGGAAGUGAGACAUGACUAAGAUGUAGGUAAAAAGGAAUAAAGGUUUUCCCUGCUCAAAACUCUCAUGAAGAAAUUAAUGGAGAAGGAAAGCACAAAGCAUGCUUGAAAGAAAGCAAUGAAAGGAGGAGGAUGACUGGAGUUUCACAGCUGCUUUAAUACAACUGGUUUCACUUAGAGAAGAUGACAUGUUGAAAUGUGAUGAGUAAAGAUGUGCAGAAUGCUUCCCCAGUAAUUGGAAUUCAAGCAACAAUAACACUGGGCAUUGUUGGAUCCUUUACAACUUUAAGAAAAAGGUCUCCUUCCUUCAUUUUGGAAAAAAGCGCACAUAUUAUAGAACAUCAUGACUUUAUUCAACAUUAAAAAGAGAAAUUAAAAAUUAUUU
rnacentral:lncRNA from 1 species